UACGUAGGGCGCAAGCGUUGUCCGGAAUUAUUGGGCCUAAAGCAUCCGUAGCCGGUUCUACAAGUCUUCCGUUAAAUCCAACUGCUUAACAGGUGGGCUGCGGAAGAUACUAUAGAGCUAGGAGGCGGGAGAGGCAAGCGGUACUCGAUGGGUAGGGGUAAAAUCCGUUGAUCCAUUGAAGACCACCAGUGGCGAAGGCGGCUUGCCAGAACGCGCUCGACGGUGAGGGAUGAAAGCUGGGGGAGCAAACCGG
rnacentral:rRNA from 1 species